rnacentral:rRNA from 1 species
UAGGGAAUCUUCGGCAAUGGACGGAAGUCUGACCGAGCAACGCCGCGUGAGUGAAGAAGGUUUUCGGAUCGUAAAGCUCUGUUGUAAGAGAAGAACGAGUGUGAGAGUGGAAAGUUCACACUGUGACGGUAUCUUACCAGAAAGGGACGGCUAACUACGUGCCAGCAGCCGCGGUAAUACGUAGGUCCCAAGCGUUGUCCGGAUUUAUUGGGCGUAAAGCGAGCGCAGGCGGUUAGAUAAGUCUGAAGUUAAAGGCUGUGGCUUAACCAUAGUACGCUUUGGAAACUGUUUAACUUGAGUGCAAGAGGGGAGAGUGGAAUUCCAUGUGUAGCGGUGAAAUGCGUAGAUAUAUGGAGGAACACCGGUGGCGAAAGCGGCUCUCUGGCUUGUAACUGACGCUGAGGCUCGAAAGCGUGGGGAGCAAACAGGAUUAGAUACCCUGGUAGUCCACGCCGUANACGAUGAGUGCUAGGUGUUAGACCCUUUCCNGCGUUUANNGGNGUUACUUCCGGGGGUUUAGUGCCGUAGCUAACGCAUUAAGCACUCCGCCUGGGGAGUACGACCGCAAGGUUG